ensembl:snRNA U2 U2 spliceosomal RNA
AUCGCUUCUUGGCCUUUUGGCUAAGAUCAAGUGUAGUAUCUGUUCUUAUCAGUUUAAUAUAGGAAACGGGAAUGAUUCAGCUGGAAUUUCUAUGAUAGUAAUGGACACUUUAGCCACAAAGGAAAUUUUGAAAUUGUUUUGUAAUCAGGUACUAACAAUUUACUUUCUAGCAUUCCACAGCAGAUUCAAGUUUUUUCUU